UAUAUAUAUAUAGUUUUAUAUGUACAAAAUUCGUAACACAUAUAUACAUAGAGUUUGUUCUCCCAAUGUCUACAAACGAUACAAAUGAUCAUCGUUGUUUGGUAUAAGAGUUUCGUUGUCGUUGAAGUGAAACUCGCCGUUUGGAUUGAUCACUUGGUCGCGGAGAAAUCCUGCUAUCGUCUCUUGGAUAGCUUUGAUUCGGUCUUGUUGUAGGACCUUUUCCCUCAGCCAUUCCGUCUUUAAUUUGAAAUAAAUAAAAAAGGUAUUAGUUAUCUAAGUUAUUCAAUAUAAUUCAGGAGAUAAUGAAAAGAGACAUGUAACGUACUCUGAGCGUCUCUGUGGGUGUUUGAUUGACUUGUGCCAUCAUGAAUUUGCACACGUAAUAUGCACAUAGAUUGUUCCCUCCUUCUUGUCUUAAACACCACUGUACGAUAUAUAUAUAUAUAAAAAUAUUCAUAACCACGACAAUAAGAAGGCUAAAAGUUAGCGAAAGUUUGUUAGCUAGUAGAACUUACUUGUGGAUGUAUUAUGUUAAGCGGCGCUUUACAUCCACUGAGAUGUUCACGGUCAAUGAAUCUUUCCCAAACCCUAUACACAGCCAUUGUGGAUCGUGAACUAAUAAUUACAGAGUCAUAUUAUGAUAUUUUUGUAGCUG
rnacentral:lncRNA from 1 species